rnacentral:rRNA from 1 species
GACGAACGCUGGCGGCGUGCUUAACACAUGCAAGUCGAACGGAAAGGCCCUGCUUUUGUGGGGUGCUCGAGUGGCGAACGGGUGAGUAACACGUGAGUAACCUGCCCUUGACUUUGGGAUAACUUCAGGAAACUGGGGCUAAUACCGGAUAGGAGCUCCUGCUGCAUGGUGGGGGUUGGAAAGUUUCGGCGGUUGGGGAUGGACUCGCGGCUUAUCAGCUUGUUGGUGGGGUAGUGGCUUACCAAGGCUUUGACGGGUAGCCGGCCUGAGAGGGUGACCGGCCACCUUGGGGCCUGCGUCGCGCACGAUACUCCUAGGGGGGCCGGUGGGGGGAAACUUUGAACAGGGGGGGGCCCCUUAGCAAGCAACCCCGCGGGGGGGAUGCGCGUCUUUGGGUUUGAAACCGUCUUCCCCGUGUAACGGGCGUGGAUUGCCGUUAGUGGCAAAAGAAGCCCCGGCUAACUCCGUG